rnacentral:rRNA from 1 species
CCUACGGGAGGCAGCAGUGGGGAAUUUUGGACAAUGGGCGAAAGCCUGAUCCAGCAAUGCCGCGUGAGUGAAGAAGGCCUUCGGGUUGUAAAGCUCUUUUGUCAGGGAAGAAACGGUAUGGGCUAAUAUCCCGUGCUAAUGACGGUACCUGAAGAAUAAGCACCGGCUAACUACGUGCCAGCAGCCGCGGUAAUACGUAGGGUGCAAGCGUUAAUCGGAAUUACUGGGCGUAAAGCGUGCGCAGGCGGUUUUGUAAGUUUGUCGUGAAAUCCCCGGGCUCAACCUGGGAAUGGCGAUGAAGACUGCAAGGCUAGAAUCUGGCAGAGGGGGGUAGAAUUCCACGUGUAGCAGUGAAAUGCGUAGAGAUGUGGAGGAACACCGAUGGCGAAGGCAGCCCCCUGGGUCAAGAUUGACGCUCAUGCACGAAAGCGUGGGGAGCAAACAGGAUUAGAUACCCUGGUAGUCCACGCCCUAAACGAUGUCUACUAGUUGUCGGGUUUUAAUUAACUUGGUAACGCAGCUAACGCGUGAAGUAGACCGCCUGGGGAUACGGUCGCAAGNUUAAAACUUAAAUGAAUUGACGG